AAUAGUUGUCUUUGACGAGCGUUCAAUUUCCGUGACAGUGACGUCAUCGCCUCCGGGUCAAACUGGGCCGAACUGAGCCGAGCUAAUCCACUUUCGCCUGCUUCGCUAAUGACCACUUCAUUAUUGAUGUGUUUAAUUAGCUGCUUGCUAACUAGCGACAAGCUAACGUUAGCAAAACAAGAGGUAGGUUGUAGCGAGCUAGCUGGCUAGCCGUUCUGGAAAGUUCUCGCCAUGUUUUCUUCGACAGUCCCGUCGCUCGGCUCGAUUAUGGUCACCGAAGGGCGGAACCGCCACCGAAUAUUCCUUGUUUAGCGGGACUUUGAGGCCACUUGCUGGCAUCCCCGCCCAGCUCACCUGCCUGACGGCCGGACUGAAGAGGAAGUCACCAGCCUCCUUGAGGUCCAGCCAGAUCAUCGGCAUGCGGGGGACCGCCUCCAUCUUGGCCGGCCGCUGGCGGUGCCCUCCGCCGCUAAGAUGCCACACAAGUGGAGGGCGCCGUGCUGUGUGCAGAAGUUACAUGCUGAGGAGGCCUGCUAAAUGUCUGGAGACAUCACCAUGACAACCGGAGCUGCUGCUGCCACAGGUCACAUCCCGCAGGUCUGAUUCCCGCGUCCAAGCCGGCCGUGUCUCUGUGUCGGUGCGCGGACCUCACCCUGGCGCGCGCCUCUGUCUUUUUUUGUGUGCUCGUCCUCGCGCACACUGGGCUGGCGGGAACGGAGCGGUACCCCGUCGCUGUGGGCAACCUGUUGCCAUGGCAAUCCUCCAGCAAGGUGAUGUGUGAAGCAAGCAAAUGAGCGUAGCCCCCCCCCCCACUCCCUCACAGCCCACCCCCGCCCGACCCACGCGCACACACGAGCACACACAGGUGAAAGGUUACA